rnacentral:lncRNA from 1 species
AACUGGGAUUGGUAGGGGUUGGUCUCCUGGAGCAACAUUGAUUUUUGGAGUGAGGAAAACCAGGGUGCAGUCUGCAGCCCCUCUUUCCUGGAGUAAAUGAACUGGACCAAAUCUCAAAAAUCCACGAUGUCAUCGGCACACCCGCUCAGAAGAUCCUCACCAAGUUCAAACAAACCCAGAACGGAAGCGAGGAUGAGGCCUCAGCCGUCCUCCUCCCCAUUCAAACACGUUCAUCCCUCAACCCUCUGCUGAGCACCUGCAUGCUGCCCGGCCGCAGUGUCACCCUUCUUGUGUGAGCCUACCCUCAUCCACCCACCUCACCCUCCUGACCUUAAAGAAGACACCGGGCAGAAGCACAGGGGAGCCCAGUCACACCCCACACUGGCGGGGGCAGGCCUUGCAGGGAGAAGCAGUAAGCAGCCAUCUCCAUCAGCCAUUUCCAUCUGGCACUCAGACGUGCACGUCUUCGUGUGACAGGCGGCAGCAGUGCGACCGUGACCUCCCAUCUGCUCUGCUGUCCCCACACCUGCGGUGCAGCCAGCCUGCCACAAGGCAGCUAGAGUCCAGCUAGACCCACCCCUGGCACGGCCGACCUCUUCCUGGCUUCUUCUGGGCCUAAUCCCCGUGCAUUCUCC